rnacentral:rRNA from 1 species
AACGAACGCUGGCGGCAUGCCUAACACAUGCAAGUCGAACGAGACCUUCGGGUCUAGUGGCGCACGGGUGCGUAACGCGUGGGAACCUGCCCUUAGGUUCGGAAUAACUCCCCGAAAGGGGUGCUAAUACCGGAUAAUGUCUUCGGACCAAAGAUUUAUCGCCUUUGGAUGGGCCCGCGUUGGAUUAGCUAGUUGGUAGGGUAAAAGCCUACCAAGGCGACGAUCCAUAGCUGGUCUGAGAGGAUGAUCAGCCACACUGGGGCUGAGACACGGCCCAGACUCCUACGGGAGGCAGCAGUGGGGAAUAUUGGACAAUGGGCGAAAGCCUGAUCCAGCAAUGCCGCGUGAGUGAUGAAGGCCUUAGGGUUGUAAAGCUCUUUUACCCGGGAUGAUAAUGACAGUACCGGGAGAAUAAGCUCCGGCUAACUCCGU